rnacentral:sRNA from 1 species
GUAAACCCUGGUUCCAAAAAACAAAAAGAACAAUAAGGACGUAGAGCUGCGUCUGAUACACCCGUUUCAUGUUUUACCAAGGGCGGGGGGGGGGAGAAAGGCGCAUCUCACAAACGCGAGCGCAUACGUCAAGAGGAAAGAAUGCCACCACGAAUAUUUCAUCCACCAUAUUCUUCUCCUUUCCGUCUUCACCGGCUUUCUUUCGUUAUACGUCAAUUUCACAUCACAGAGGAUCAUCCAACGUUAUUAUUAUCGUGUUCUCGAAUAUUGGUCCUCCAGUUCAUCAAUCUCUUUCUUGCUGUGGGUUUGACCGAAUCACCAAGUUACGACCACAGGGCCCUGAUAGCUGGCAAACAUUGGUACGUCCCUAAGUAAUGUAUAGAUGGUUCCACCGUUUCAAAGAAGUUUGAAUGGAGCGUUCAAUCGCUUCCUGUCCUCCCAUCGUCAUCUAUUUUUUUCUCAUUCCUUGAACUCCCUUAUGAUUAUCGUAUCGCAGAUCGUUCAUUCACCCAGUAACUGGGGCUCUCCAUUAUAAUAUGGUACUGGUAUAAGUAUAUCCAGUACCCUUCGCCAGGCGUUCCAGGCCGGGCCUUGAACAACGACACUGGCCAGGGAACAGCCUAGAGGGUUGGUCGCUGGCUAGGUCUCCAUGCAGCAUACCGCACCAAAGCAAUAGAAGCAAUAGCUUCUUCCAUCUUAUACUAGCCUUACAGUCUUCAGCACAUUAGCAGCAUCAUUGUUAUUGUUGUCGCUGCUGGUGGAAUUAAAAAAAAAAAACAUGUGGAAUUUAUAGUUAUUUCCCAUGAUGAUCACUUCAAACAAGUUUAGCAGU